rnacentral:lncRNA from 1 species
UUUAAUAAGGAUGUUUUUAACCCACAAAAUCAAAAAUCUAGGAAAAAUUAAUAUUUACUCAAUCAACAUUUACAAAAAUGGAACCUAUAAUUCAAUUAAUUCCCAUCAGUUUAAAGUGUCAAACUUUUUUAGACUAACAAAAAAUUAAGAAAUACGUAUUCGGAAGGUUUUAUUUUAGAUUAGAACUAUAAAGGGAAAGAAAAUAUGGAAAUCAACUCUUUAAAGAUUUAGGUAUGUUUUUCCUAUGAAAGUUUUAUAAGGAUUUGGAACUUUGAAUUUGGCAGUUUAUUUGAUAAAUACCUACAAGGUUUUCAGUUCCUCUCCUUUUCCCCCUAGAUAUUGUAAGGUAAGGUUUGUUGCAUUAACCACAUUGAUCUCUUUACCUUAUUUUAGUCCUUAAAAAUCUGUGAUGAUGAAAUUUUUAUUUCACUGCUGAUAUUGAGUUUUAUAGUCUUAUUUUACAACAUUGUGUUUUGUUAUUUGACUAAAUGUUUUGUUUGUAGACAUUUUCUGUUGCUGUAUGUAAGCAGUAUGCAAGCCAUUUGACCAAAAAACAUAACAUUUUUUUUAGCUUCGGUCUGAUAAGCUAAAAAUUUAGAAUUUUCUAAACUAUUUGUGACCCCUGCUAAUUCUAAUAAGUCUUUGCAUUACUUAUUGUUUUUCUGUAAUAUUUCUCAAUAUUUGAACAUAAAAGCAUCUCAAAACCACUUCU